UACGGGGGGGGCAAGCGUUGUUCGGAAUUACUGGGCGUAAAGGGCUCGUAGGCGGCCAACUAAGUCGGACGUGAAAUCCCCAGGCUCAACCUGGGAACUGCGUCCGAUACUGGAUGGCUUGAAUUCGGGAGAGGGAUGCAGAAUUCCAGGUGUAGCGGUGAAAUGCGUAGAUAUCUGGAGGAAUACCGGUGGCGAAGGCGGCAUCCUGGACCGGCAUUGACGCUGAGGAGCGAAAGCCAGGGGAGCAAACGGG
rnacentral:rRNA from 1 species